rnacentral:rRNA from 1 species
UACGUAGGGUCCGAGCGUUGUCCGGAAUUACUGGGCGUAAAGAGCUCGUAGGUGGUUUGUCGCGUUGUUCGUGAAAACUCACAGCUCAACUGUGGGCGUGCGGGCGAUACGGGCAGACUUGAGUACUGCAGGGGAGACUGGAAUUCCUGGUGUAGCGGUGGAAUGCGCAGAUAUCAGGAGGAACACCGGUGGCGAAGGCGGGUCUCUGGGCAGUAACUGACGCUGAGGCGCGAAAGCGUGGGGAGCAAACAGG